rnacentral:rRNA from 1 species
UAGGGAAUCUUCGGCAAUGGGGGCAACCCUGACCGAGCGACGCCGCGUGAGUGAAGAAGGUUUUCGGAUCGUAAAGCUCUGUUGUAAGAGAAGAACGUGUGUGAGAGUGGAAAGUUCACACAGUGACGGUAACUUACCAGAAAGGGACGGCUAACUACGUACCAGCAGCCGCGGUAAUACGUAGGUCCCGAGCGUUGUCCGGAUUUAUUGGGCGUAAAGCGAGCGCAGGCGGUUUAAUAAGUCUGAAGUUAAAGGCAGUGGCUUAACCAUUGUUCGCUUUGGAAACUGUUAAACUUGAGUGCAGAAGGGGAGAGUGGAAUUCCAUGUGUAGCGGUGAAAUGCGUAGAUAUAUGGAGGAACACCGGUGGCGAAAGCGGCUCUCUGGUCUGUAACUGACGCUGAGGCUCGAAAGCGUGGGGAGCUAACAGG